rnacentral:rRNA from 1 species
GAUGAACGCUGGCGGCGGGCCUAAUACAUGCAAGUCGAGCGAACAGACGAGGAGCUUUCUCCCCUGACGUGAGCGGCGGACGGGUUAGUAACACGUGGACAACCUACCUAUAAGACUGGGAUAACUGCGGGAAACCGGAGCUACUACCGGGUAAUAGAUUGAACCGGAUGGUUCAAUAGUGAAAGACGGUUUUGCUGUCACUGAUAGAUUGAUCCGCGCCGCAUUAGCUAGUUGGUAAGGUAACGGCUUACCAAGGCAACGAUGCGUAGCCGACCUGAGAGGGUGAUCGGCCCCACUGGAACUGAGACACGGUCCAGACUCCUACGGGAGGCAGCAGUAGGGAAUCUUCCGCAAUGGGCGAAAGCCUGACGGAGCAACGCCGCGUGAGUGAUGAAGGUCUUCGGAUCGUAAAACUCUGUUAUUAGGGAAGAAGAAAUGUGUAAGUAACUAUGCACGUCUUGACGGUACCUAAUCAGAAAGCCACGGCUAACUACGUG